AAUAUCUCCAAGACACUGGCAAAAUCCCCUGGGUUGAUUCUCAACUGCCCCUGUUGAGAACCACAGACUUACGAAUGCCGCUCAGCUGGGAAUUUUUUUUUUUACUUAAGAUCAUCCUAACUGCCCAUUUUGUAAACUUUAUUCUCUUAACAUUUAUUAUGUCAUAUUUCCUGAUUUUAAAUAACUUUUAAUGACUGCAUAUUGCAUUUUGUGGUUAUAUCCUAAGUUGUUUACUUAAUGAUUUCCCUAUUGUUUAAUGUGGAUUAUUUUAAGAAUUUUGCUAUUAUAGUUAUCAUUUGAUGAAUAUCUUCAGCAUAAAUUUUAGUCCACAGUUUAGAUUAUUUCUUUCAGAUAGUGU
rnacentral:lncRNA from 1 species